rnacentral:lncRNA from 1 species
AAAACUAUAUGAAUAAACUAUUAUACAAUUCUAAUCAUACAUAAAUUAAAUUAUAUUUAUAAACUAGUAAUGCAACUUUAUUCAUACAUGAACAAAUUAUAUUCAUGCAUGAAUAUAAUAUAUUUGGUGAAGUCCUUAGUGGAAUGAUGUCUGACUAUGCUUGGAUACAUGAUCGGGUAUGUCAAAAUCAUCGUUCAUCCAUAUGUAUAGCUUUGGAUUUAACUUCGUUUUUGUUUAUCUGUCAACAAUAUUUAAAUGAUUAGUCCACAUAAUCAUUAAUGAAUAAUGCAAAUCAUCUACGAAUUUUAAUAUAAUCAUAAUUGUAUACAACUGAAAAUCAUAAAUGAUUAAAACUGAUAAACUAAAGUCUAUUUGUUUAUAUCCAUUUACUAAUCAUUUAACCCAAUCAUAAUUGAAUAUAAAUGAAAAUAUAAGUAUUACCUUUCUAAUAUCUUGACUUGAAUCCUUUUCAUUUGAAUCUUUAUUUGCAUCUCUGUAAUUUGUAGUGGUCUAAUUUGCAUAAAGAACCAUAAAUGUACUUAUGAUUUUUUUAUUCACAUCAGGGUCAAAUGUAAAGGAGUCAGAAAGUAAAAUGCAUUGCAUAAAUGAUCAUAAGCGCAUUGCGAUUAAAGUAAAAUACAUUACAUAAAUGAUUGAGGUACGAAUUAAAUUAAAUUAAAAGCUAUAUAUUGACUAUAUUCACGAACAAUCCAUAUCCCCAUUCAAAUCAAUUACACUCUCAAGGAUUUCUCAUCCCCAAUAAAUCGCAAUUUCUGGAGAUUCGACAUACUAAAGAACUAUCAAGUUUCUUGUAUAACUAAUUAACACUAAUAUAAACUAGAGUAUAUCCCCCCAAACGACCUUAUUGCCACCACCGAUACAUCACCAUAUUUGAACCAGACAUAAUCGAAUCGCUACCCACUUUUCGCUUUAGCCAUCGCUAAAAAUGACAUCGAGAUGGAGGUUGUGCGAUAAAUAUUUGAAGCCCUCGAUCGGUUGGAAAAUAAGGCAUCAUCGAUUAGUGAAAACAAAAUCGUAGACGAGAAAGAGAGAGCAGCUCGACGAGAAGAUGAUAAUAACGGAAUGUGGGUUGUACUGAAUCCUUAGCUGUAGG